AAACAAAUGCCAAACUUUUUAUUAUAGAAUAUUCUCUAAGAUCAGUUUAAUUAUGUAUUUUAGGAUAUUGGUGCUGGAAAAGGCAAAUACUAUGCUGUCAAUUUUCCAAUGAGAGAUGGUAUAGAUGAUGAGUCAUAUGGGCAGAUAUUUAAGCCUAUUAUCUCAAAGGUGAUGGAGAUGUAUCAACCUAGUGCUGUGGUAUUACAGUGUGGUGCAGACUCAUUAUCUGGUGAUAGACUGGGUUGUUUCAAUCUAACAGUCAAAGGUCAUGCUAAAUGUGUAGAAGUUGUAAAAACUUUUAACUUACCAUUACUGAUGCUUGGAGGAGGUGGCUACACAAUCCGUAAUGUUGCUCGAUGUUGGACAUAUGAGACUGCAGUUGCCCUUGAUUGUGAGAUUCCCAACGAGUUGCCAUAUAAUGAUUACUUUGAGUAUUUUGGACCAGACUUCAAAUUGCAUAUUAGUCCUUCAAACAUGACAAACCAGAACACUCCAGA
rnacentral:sRNA from 1 species